GACGAACGCUGGCGGCGUGCUUAACACAUGCAAGUCGAACGGAAAGGCCCUGCUUUUGUGGGGUGCUCGAGUGGCGAACGGGUGAGUAACACGUGAGUAACCUGCCCUUGACUUUGGGAUAACUUCAGGAAACUGGGGCUAAUACCGGAUAGGAGCUCCUGCUGCAUGGUGGGGGUUGGAAAGUUUCGGCGGUUGGGGAUGGACUCGCGGCUUAUCAGCUGGUUGGUGGGGUAGUGGCUUACCAAGGCUUUGACGGGUAGCCGGCCUGAGAGGGUGACCGGCCACAUUGGGACUGAGAUACGGCCCAGACUCCUACGGGAGGCAGCAGUGGGGAAUCUUGCACAAUGGGCGGAAGCCUGAUGCAGCAACGCCGCGUGCGGGAUGCCGGCCUUCGGGUUGUAAACCGCUUUCGCCUGUGACGAAGCGUGAGUGACGGUAAUGGGUAAAGAAGCACCGGCUAACUACGUG
rnacentral:rRNA from 1 species